rnacentral:rRNA from 1 species
UACGGAGGAUGCAAGCGUUAUCCGGAAUGAUUGGGCGUAAAGCGUCUGUAGGUGGUUUAUUAAGUCUACUGUUAAAGAUCAGGGCUUAACCCUGAGCCGGCAGUGGAAACUAAUAAGCUUGAGUACGGUAGGGGCAGAGGGAAUUCCCGGUGUAGCGGUGAAAUGCGUAGAUAUUGGGAGGAACACCAGUGGCGAAGGCGGCUACCUGGACCGGUUCUGACGCUGAGGCGCGAAAGCGUGGGUAGCAAACAGG